UUUUUUUUUUUUUUUUUUGAGACGGAGUUUCACUCUUGUUGCUCAGGCUGGAGUGCAAUGGCGUGAUAUCGGCUCACUGCAACCUCUGUCUUCUGUGUUCAAGCAAUUCUUCUGCCUCAGCCUCCCGAGUAGCGGGGAUUACAGGCACGCACCACAACGCCCAGCUAAUUUUUGUACUUUUAGUAGAGAUGGGGCUUCGUCAUGUUGGUCAGGCUGGUCUUGAACUCCUGACCUCAAGUGAUCCACCUGCCUCAGCCUCCCAAAGUGCUGGGAUUGCAGGCGUGAGCCACUGCGCCCGGCCGAGACUUUAUUUUUUGAAUGUUUUAUACUUGUUCUCAAGUAGUGCCUGACUCAGGCAGAGGCUUUUGUCACCAGUCAUAAAGUGAUGAGAACCCUUUAGGUUGAGAAUACUAUAACUGGCACUCGGGGAAUCAAAUAGCUUUAAUGAGAUAUGUGCUUUGCUUGCUAGGUUUUUUCAAAUGCUACUUAAUUUAUUAUUUAAUAGAGACUCUGAAGAUCUAUAGGUCCGUAAUCUAAAGAGUGAUUAUUAAGACACGUAAUGUCCAUUUCUUUCUUUAUAACCACCAUAGCAGGAAAUUCUUUGAUCUUAAUUUUAACCACAAAUUCUCUGGAAAUACAAAUCAUGCUGGUCUCUGGUAAUAUUUUAAGAUGUUUAUGUAUGUAUUUCCCUAUUUAAGAUGAGGAUAUAUCAGAGUCACUUCAGCCUAUAAGUUCAUCCAGCUCUCACUGAGAAUAAUGUUCAUGUUUUUCCUCAAUCUUUUCUCCACAAUAUCAGUUCCCCAGGUGCUCCCCUGUUGUUUCUCUCAUUCUCUAAGUGUUUUCAUUUGCUCCUUGAUCUUCAGUAAUCUCCUUCCAUUAGUUACACCAGCACAUCCAAACCUAUGCCUCAGGCUGUGGCAUUUUACCUUCAAUUCAGUCUUGAUUUCCCAAUUGACUAAAGACCUGAAGAACCGAGUGUUUUGCUGGUACCACAAACACUUGUAAAAAUGAAUUCUCCACCACCUGGCAUUAAACCAGUGUCUCCUUCAGAUUCAUCUCUUCCUGCUAAAUGAUGCUCCAUUGGUCCAGACACUCAGAUACCCAAGCUCUUGUCUUUUGGACUCCUCUCUCAACAUCUAUACUCAGAAAAUAUCUAUACACAGUUUGAUUGUAUUUUGUUUUCCCACAAUGUAUUUUACUUUAAUAUUUUCAUUGCUGUGUACUCAGUAUCAUCAAGUGAUAUACAUUAAUUAAUCCAGGCAUUAAGUAAGAGGCUUAAUUAUAUCAGCACUUGGCAAUCCAUCCACAUCCCAACCAUCUUAAUGGCUACAAGACAAGUUUGCCAAAAUUCUACUUUAACAGGUUAUUUUCCUACCCCCAAACACCAAAUAGUUCCAUUCAUAUAAAGUCUAGAAAGUCAAAGUUCUGACAACUUUACUCAAGGCUCAAGGAAGGUUGACCCGUACUUUUUCAAGGCUUGUAUCUUGCUACUUCCUUAUAUGCACCCCAUACCCCAGCAAAACUUUUGCUUUCAAAUACCCAGCAUGGCAUAUUUUCAGCUGCCAUACCUUUGUCUAUAUUCUGUCCAUCUACAAUUGUUGUCCAACUUAGUCACCUAACGAAAUCUAAUCUUUCCCUUUAGAAUGUGUGCUCCACUUUGAUGUACAUUAGAAUAAACUAAAAUGAUUGUUUAAAAUUCAGAUUUUCUUACCCAAUCUCAGAAUUUUGAUUGAAGAAGUUAGAGGAAGGACCCAAGAGUCUACAUUUUUAACAAAUCCAUUUGAGCGAUUCUCAUACAGAUGGUCAUGGGACCAAAAACAUUUGAAAAACAUUGUAAGGACCAAAAAUAUGGACUGUAUAAAGUUUUCUUAGAUGUUACUGGUUAAAAACGAUUUCUUUUUUUAGGAA
ensembl:lncRNA